GCCGCCGUCAUCUGGGGAGUAGCCAGCCGUCGAUCCGACGGGCCACCGCGUCAACAUACUCGGCCGAGAGGUCGUGGCGCGAUGGAAGCGGGACACCGCUU
rnacentral:sRNA from 1 species